CGAGAUUCUAGAGGCAUAAGUUUCUAAUGCCCCUUACUCAGAACAGAGCCCAGACCUUGACGGAGCGAAUCCGUCCUGUAACCUGUCGGCUCUCGCCGCUAUUACGUGCUAACACUGCAAGGCGUAGACGGCUUCGGUUUCGACGCACGCAUACGAGUAUAUGAUUACGGGAUAUGGUCGUGUAGUAGCUGGUACACAGUACGGCUCUACAAAUACGCGCGUAGCGCGACCACCAGCAUCUCGAGAGGCCUUUUCAGCGGCCAGCUACUACAGGUCGGGAGAAAUUCGGUUGCCCGGCUAGGCGGUGAGUAGUCUCGGGGGAAGGGGGGUGGCUCGGGGGUUGGGUUGAUGGCUCGGCGGCUCGGCGGCUCGGCACGUUGGCGGCUUGGCGGUUUGGCAGCUUGGCGGCUCGGCGGCUUGAUGGCUCGGUGGUCUGGCUGCUUGGAAGUGUUGUCCUCGGCUGCAAGGGUGGGCAUUAAAUGGGUUGGAGAAGAGGAUGGUAUCAAAUGGUAUCAUUCGUACACAACACAUCAGUAUCUCUACAUCUUCAUGUAGCCAUAUGCAUCCAGGCAUUCGAGGCCCGCAGGCGCAUGCUGCGUCGGCUUCGAGGCCACGAGGCGCGCACGACGUCGGUUUCGAGGCCACCAUCGUCACCCAUGUAUGGACGUUGCCAUGCAUGUGAAUGGGCUGCAUGUGGAUAUACGUGAUAGACAUAUGGGGUUACCUGUCUUGCCUAUAGAGGUGAGUUAAGAGGGGGGCCGGGAAGAGGAGCUGGACCACCAAUAAGGGCGUGAAAAGGGAGAGUCCUUGGUGCAGGGCGUGAGACGGGAGAGCCCCAACACUUGCGUACUAACACCCGAGGGUGAUCAGCCCGACGGCUAGGAGAGCGUGAGAGGUGCGUACUCCUCGUAGGGCAUGGGACGCUCCCGGUCCACCCCACGGGGGCUUCAGUGGGUUCAAAUCCCGCAUUGAUCGAGGUAUGUGAGUUCGUACUGCCUCUGCCAUGCUGCCUGGGUCGAAGCUUCUUCCUUGCUGACUUCACACAAUCGCCCUGCGCAAACGUCUUGACCUUCUGGACUAAUUGGGCUAUCUGGAUCCCUAAGCUUGCUAACCUGGGCGGUUAUCAUCAGGAAUUCGAGGUAGGAAAAUAACGACACUCGGGUGUACUGCUGUCGCGUCAUUGUAUGGCCUUGGCGUUUAGGUGCGGCUUAACAACCGUCACAGGUGACGUUGCGUGUGAUGCGUUGCAUCACACGUUUACGAUUAUGCAUAUCGCAUUUCACAUUUACCUUCAACCUGUUCUGUGUAUGUGUCUACGUUGCAGGAUCGUGGAAGUGCAUACCCCGUACCUGUAAAAACCGCCUAAUACGCAUCGAGGGCAGAAGAGCUCCCUUCCUAAUCGCCUGUACGCACCAUCCCACCACUCCAGACACAGCAAGUGAUAAAGCUAACGACCAAAGGGAACGGUAGAGUUGCGACGGGACCACAUACGUUCCAGCAUCUUCGCCAGACGUUCAGGAUUCCACUUCAUAUAACGCCCUUCAUAUGCGCGAAGCGUGGGAAAUCCGUUUCAGACCUUCCAGCGGAUCAGUCCAGCGGAUCAGUCCAGCGAGAGGUGCUCCUCAGGAACUUUUUGCUGGUGAAGGCGAUUGGUUCUCCGUUCUUCAGUAGGGCUGCACCCGUACCGUGCAAGGACGCGUGAAACAGAGGUCACUUAGAACGUGAAAGGUCAUGUCCGGGUACCGGGUUAGCAGUACAUCGUCGGCCAACGCGUUUUUCACCAUCUCAAAUGCCUGUACCCGUUUAGGUGUCCAGUCUUCCGUCCGGAACGUGAUCAUGUAACAUAUCUCUGUGGGGAGCCGAAAGUGUGAAGCGUACGCUUUAACGAGGUUUCGGAAACAGCUCGUAAGCCCCAAGAACUGCCGUAACUCGGAUGUAUUCUUUGGCAACGGCCACUCACGGACAGUCUUCGCCUUCUUAGGAUCCAUGCGAACUCCGUCGGCACUAACGAUGUGACCGAG
rnacentral:lncRNA from 1 species